rnacentral:rRNA from 1 species
GGCGGCGUGCUUAACACAUGCAAGUCGAACGAAGAGCGAUGGAAGCUUGCUUCUAUCAAUCUUAGUGGCGAACGGGUGAGUAACGCGUAAUCAACCUGCCCUUCAGAGGGGGACAACAGUUGGAAACGACUGCUAAUACCGCAUACGAUCUAAUCUCGGCAUCGAGGAUAGAUGAAAGGUGGCCUCUACAUGUAAGCUAUCACUGAAGGAGGGGAUUGCGUCUGAUUAGCUAGUUGGAGGGGUAACGGCCCACCAAGGCGAUGAUCAGUAGCCGGUCUGAGAGGAUGAACGGCCACAUUGGGACUGAGACACGGCCCAGACUCCUACGGGAGGCAGCAGUGGGGAAUCUUCCGCAAUGGACGAAAGUCUGACGGAGCAACGCCGCGUGAGUGAUGACGGCCUUCGGGUUGUAAAGCUCUGUUAAUCGGGACGAAAGGCCUUCUUGCGAAUAGUGAGAAGGAUUGACG